CAGCAAGCCAGGAAGGAGGCUGGCAGAGCUCCCUGCAGCAGACCCUCCCUGCAGCAGACCAGACCAUCCAGCACAGCCUUUGCAAGUGCAGGGAAUGGGAGGUUAUUUAAAUAGAAGACCUUUCUGAGUCUGCAACACACACACUAUCAGGGCCAGGGAGAUCUCAGCGGACAAGGAUCUUCCAGUUCACUUCUAACUUUCGAGGUAAAAAAGUGUACAAGCUCGUGUUCUCCUCUGGAUAAACUUUCGGGAUAAACUGAAGGACUGUUUGAACAGACCGAAAGGAAACUACACUGAAUCAUACAGAGGCCAAAACUAAGAUUACGAUCCUAUGCAACCCUUAUUUGGGAGAAACUAUGGAACACAAUAGGACUUGCUUCCAAGUAAACAUGUAAACAUGUUUUGAAACUGUUUUUAUUGUUUAACUGUUGUUUUAUGGUAUUUUAAAAUCUCUGUUUUAAUUGUUGAUUGAUUUUAACUGUUUUUGUUUUAUCUGUAAACCACCCUGAGCCAUUUUGGAAGGUCGGUAUAGAAAUUUAAUAAAUAAAAUAAAUAAUAAAAAUAAAGGAUUCUGCUGCAAA